UGAUGAUAAUGAUGAUGAUGAUGAUGAUGAUAAUGAUGAUAAUACUAGUAGUAGUAGUAGUAACAUCAUCAUCAUCAUCAUCAUCAAAGGUA
rnacentral:pre_miRNA from 1 species